GGGCGAUUAGCUCAGUUGGGAGAGCACCUCCCUUACAAGGAGGGGUCACUGGUUCGAGACCGGUAUCGCCCACCA
rnacentral:tRNA from 5 species